AGAGUUUGAUCCUGGCUCAGAGCGAACGUUGGCGGCGCGCUUAACACAUGCAAGUCGAGCGCGAAAGGGCUUCGGCCCGAGUAGAGCGGCGCACGGGUGAGUAACGCGUGAGAACCUACCCUUGGGUUCGGGACAACAGCCCGAAAGGGCUGCUGAUACCGGAUACGACCUUCGGGGGAAAGCUGGGGACCGGCGACGGCCUGGCGCCCGGGGAUGGGCUCGCGUCCUAUCAGCUUGUUGGUGAGGUAAUGGCUCACCAAGGCGACGACGGGUAGCUGGUCUGAGAGGAUGAUCAGCCGCACUGGAACUGAGACACGGUCCAGACUCCUACGGGAGGCAGCAGUGGGGAAUUUUGCGCAAUGGGCGAAAGCCUGACGCAGCGACGCCGCGUGUACGAUGAAGGCCUUUGGGUCGUAAAGUACUGUCAACGGGGACGAACGUCGCUCGGCGAAUAGCCGGGUGGUCUGACGGUACCCGUGGAGGAAGCACCGGCUAACUCUGUGCCAGCAGCCGCGGUAAUACAGAGGGUGCAAACGUUGCUCGGAAUGACUGGGCGUAAAGCGCGCGCAGGCGGUCCUCUAAGUCGACUGUGAAAUCCCAUGGCUCAACCAUGGACGUGCAGUCGAUACUGGGGGACUCGAGUCCCGGAGAGGGUGGUAGAAUUCCCAGUGUAGAGGUGAAAUUCGUAGAUAUUGGGAGGAAUACCGGUGGC
rnacentral:rRNA from 1 species